rnacentral:rRNA from 1 species
GAAAGUUGCAAAGAACUUUGAAGAGAGAGUUCAAGAGGACGUGAAACCGAUAGGAUGGAAGCAGAUGAAGUUGACGAACAGGUGCCGUAUUCAGGGCUGCGCCUCGUGUGCAGUCUGUUUUUGCGGCCGAUGUGGGCCGGCGGCCUUGGUCAAUGCACUGUGUCAAGCGGCGAUGGAGACCCUGCGGAGGGAUCAUCAGUCGUCGUGCGAUGCGUGGUAUGGCUAAGUGCUUCGCCGGUCUUGAAGUCAGCGCCUCAUCUGACCCGUCUUGAAACACGGACCAAGGAGUGUAUCGUUUACGCAAGUCUUAGAGUGUAUCAAAACUUUGAGGCGAAACGAAAGUGAAUGCAGUUUAAUCUGCUGACUUGGGAUGCGUUGUCUUUUGUGGACGGCGCUGGACCAUGGUUAUAUCGCGAUCGCUUGCGAUGCGGUGUAAAUAGAGCGUAAACGGUGCGACCCGAAAGAUGGUGAACUAUGCCUGAGCAGGAUGAAGCCGGAGGAAACUCUGGUGGAAGUCCGAAGCGGUUCUGACGUGCAAAUCGAUCGUCUGACUUGGGUAUAGGGGCGAAAGACUAAUCGAACCAUCUAGUAGUG